UACGGGGGGGGCAAGCGUUGUUCGGAAUUACUGGGCGUAAAGGGCUCGUAGGCGGCCAACUAAGUCAGACGUGAAAUCCCCAGGCUCAACCUGGGAACUGCGUCUGAUACUGGAUGGCUUGAAUCCGGGAGAGGGAUGCAGAAUUCCAGGUGUAGCGGUGAAAUGCGUAGAUAUCUGGAGGAACACCGGUGGCGAAGGCGGGUCUCUGGGCAACUCCUGACGCUGAGGCGCGAAAGCGUGGGGAGCAAACGGG
rnacentral:rRNA from 1 species